CAUCAGCUAAUGACCAGUGCUGAGUGCUGUGGGGCUGGAGGGGACCAGCAUGGCCUGGCUGUUCCUGUGCUGUUCCUGUGCUCAACAGCCAUCAGUUAACUAAUCGAUGCUGCUGCAUCACUGACCCCUGGGGAACGAGACACCUACGAGUCAGUUCUGCAUCUUCAGAGGAAGGUGGGAUGGAAUACUGUUGGUGGAGUUUGCCACUUUGAGGAAAGCCUGAAGAAAUAAAGCAAUAGAAGCAGACUUCAAGUGGAAUUUGCAUUCUUUCUUGCUUUGCUCUCUGAUGAGAAGGCUACACUCCUGUUUCCAAAGUACUAUUGAAGUCCAAGCUCACAGAUGGAAUCUGUAAGUAGUGUGUGAGGAAGGGUAACUGCUGUUCCUGACUGCACGUAAAUGAGG